AUUGAACGCUGGCGGCAGGCCUAACACAUGCAAGUCGAGCGAGCGGCGGACGGGAUAGUAAUGUAUGGGCCUCUGCCCGAUAGAUGGGGAUAACUACUGGACACGGUUGCUACUACCGCAUACUAUCGGAUGAACCCAUGUGGGUUUAGCUAGUAGGUGGGGUAAAGCCUCACCUAGGCGACGAUCUCUUGCUGGUCUGAGAGGAUGCUCAGCGCAACUGGGACUGAGAAACGGCCCAGACUCCUACGGGAGGCAGCAGUGGGGAAUCUUCCGAAAUGGGCGAAAGUCUGACGGAACAAAGCCGCGGGAGUGAUGACGGCCUUCGGGUUGUAAAGGUCUGUUAAUCGGGACGCGGUACCGGAAUAGAAAGCCACGGCUAACUACGUGCCAGCCGCCGCGGUAAUUC
rnacentral:rRNA from 1 species